CCUGCGGCUCCGGGCAGCCGCCCGGGAACCAGGACACCGCAGGGCAGCGGAUAAGGCGCGGCGGCUGUGGCCUCGGGCACCUCCCCCCCGGCUUCCCGAACCCUGCCCGGUCCGACCCGAGGGGGAGGAUGGAAGAACCAGCCGCGCUCUGAGCCCCUCAGGAAAAUAACACCCUUCCGGCCACAUCACCCGCGGUCGUGCGGAGGCCACCGCCUCGUCCCCUCCACGUCUCCAUCUCCCAAAACAGGGCCGAGUGAAAAAGGGAGCGAUGGCAGAAAAUCUGAGAAAACUGGUCUCGAGCGAAACUUUACAAUCGAUGCACGACAAGCUAGAGUCCUGGCUGAGGGACUACAACACAAACACAUGUGAUCAAAAUCUCAAUCGUUGCCUUGAGUUCAUUGAACAAAUUUCCAAAGUGCAAGGACAACUCUUCAGGAUCCUCACCACGGCUGCCCAAGAAGGAGGACACAAUGAUGGUGUGGAAAUAAUCAAAUCGCGCCUUUUGCCUUGGCUGGAGGCUUCCUUUACUGCUGCUUCCCUGGGAAACACUGUUGACAGCAAGGUCCCCUCUCUACAGGACACGUUUGAUAAGGAGAGACAUAAAGAUCGAGAUCGGGACGUGCAGCAAUUAGACUCUGAGCUGAAUUCAACUCGUAAUCAACUCAACCAGGUUCAAGACGAUCUGGCUGAAACUGAAAAGACUCUUGAAGAAACCAAGAACAGAUCGGCCAUAUCCCUUCUGGCUGCAGAGGAGGAAAUAAAUCAGCUAAGAAAGCAGCUUAAAUCUCUUCAGGCCCAGGAGGAAAGCCGCCACAAAAACUUAGAACACAGAAGCCCAGAGCACUGGAGUGUGGACUCCAGAAGCUCGGAGCCCAGGACCUCAGAGCAGAGGAAGUUGGAGCAGCGGGUCCUGGACAAGAGGAGCACAGAACACCGGACCGAAGUGAUAUCCGAUUAUGAGAAACAGCUCCAGACUCUGAAGGACGAGAUAGCGGUUUUGUCCGCUGAAAAAUCUGUACUCCAAGGAAGGUCGGUCCGGAGCCGCACUCCCAGCCCUGCCCCGCGCAGCCGCAGCCGCAGCCGCAGCCGCCCCGCCAGCCCCUCCACCGCAGUGGCCAAGGUCAGGAGCCCGUCGCCGAACCGUGCCAAAGCGUCCAGCGUGGCGCGCAAGGCUGCCCUCCUGUCCCGGUUCAGCGACGCCUAUUCCCAGGCCCGCCUGGAUGCACAGUGCUUGCUUCGACGCUGCAUCGACAAAGCUGAGACGGUGCAGCGGAUCAUCUACAUCGCCACCGUGGAGGCGUUCCACGUCGCUAAAAUGGCAUUCAGACACUUCAAGAUCCGUGUGAGGAAAUCGCUGACACCAUCUUACGCAGGGUGCAGUAACUUUGAGGAUGCCGUCUCGGAUUAUAUCAUUUGUCAUCUGGAUCUCUAUGAUUCCCAAAGCAGUGUUAACGACGUGAUCCGAGCCAUGAAUGUCAAUCCCAAGAUUUCAUUUCCUCCUGAAGUUGACUUUUGCCUCCUCAGUGACUUCAUCCAGGAGAUAUGUUGCAUUGCUUUUGCAAUGCAGACUUUAGACCCACCCCUAGAUAUUGCAUUUGGGGCUGAUGGAGAAAUUUUUAAUGAUUGCAAGUACCGUCGCAGCUAUGACUCCGAUUUCACUGCUCCCUUGGUCUUCUAUCACGUGUGGCCUGCUCUCAUGGAGAAUGACUGUGUCAUUAUGAAGGGAGAAGCUGUCACCAAGAGAGGGGCCUUUGUACGGUGGCCUUGCAUAGUGACAAUUCAUCCCAAGUGUUUGAUUCACAAUGGAAUUCAGUGCGACCUGUAAGUCGAUGUCGAAGCAGGAGUUUAAGUCCCAUCUGCCCCCGUAGCCAUAUUGGUUUAAGCACGGUAUCUCGAAGCCGGAGUCCUUCUCCAAUAAGAUGUGGAUUGCCGAGGUUUUAAAACCACCAGACAUGUUACCUUGCCACAGGACGUCUGCAACAGCCAACUUCCCCCGUGCCUCUGUCUCCUGUGUCUGCCUCAGAACUCACUUAAGAUAAUGUGAAAAGGCAAUUCUGUGUAUCACUCCACACAGAGAGUUAA